rnacentral:rRNA from 1 species
CAGGGCGCCGCCUAUAGUGCAGUCGAGCGCGUGAAUCAGCAUGAUCCCUUCGGGGUGAUUGUUGUGGAUCGAGCGGCGGACGGGUGAGUAACACGUGGGCAACCUACCCAUGAGAUCGGGAUAACUCCGGGAAACCGGAGCUAAUACCGAAUAACCCAGUGAACUGCAUGGUUCACUGGUAAAAGGCGGUUUCGGCCGUCACUCAUGGAUGGGCCCGCGGCGCAUUAGCUAGUUGGUAAGGUAACGGCUUACCAAGGCAACGAUGCGUAGCCGACCUGAGAGGGUGAUCGGCCACACUGGGACUGAGACACGGCCCAGACUCCUACGGGAGGCAGCAGUAGGGAAUCUUCCGCAAUGGACGAAAGUCUGACGGAGCAACGCCGCGUGAACGAUGAAGGUCUUCGGAUCGUAAAGUUCUGUUGUUAGGGAAGAACAAGUGCCAGAGGAAAUGCUGGUACCUUGACGGUACCUAACCAGAAAGCCACGGCUAACUACGUGCCAGCAGCCGCGGUAAUACGUAGGUGGCAAGCGUUGUCCGGAAUUAUUGGGCGUAAAGCGCGCGCAGGCGGUUUCUUAAGUCUGAUGUGAAAGCCCACAGCUCAACUGUGGAGGGCCAUUGGAAACUGGGGAACUUGAGUACAGAAGAGGAGAGUGGAAUUCCACGUGUAGCGGUGAAAUGCGUAGAUAUGUGGAGGAACACCAGUGGCGAAGGCGACUCUCUGGUCUGUAACUGACGCUGAGGCGCGAAAGCGUGGGUAGCAAACAGGAUUAGAUACCCUGCUAGUCCACGCCGUAAACGUUGAGUGCUAGGUGUUAGGGGUUUCCGCCCCUUAGUGCUGAAGUUAACGCAUUAAGCACUCCGCCUGGGGAGUACGGCCGCAGGCUGAACUCAAAAGACUUGACGGGGGUCCCGCACAGCGGUGGCAUCAUGUGUUUAUUCGAAGCAACGCGAGACCGUACCAGUCUUGACAUCUCCGCUAUCCUAGAGAUAGGCAGUACCAUCGGGACGAUGCCAGUGGUGCAUGUUGUCGUCAGCUCUGUCGUGAGAUGUUGGGUAAGUCCCGCAACGAGGCGCAACCCCUAAUC